AGACACGGCCCGGACACCUACGGGUGGCAGCAGUGGGGAAUCUUGGGCAAUGGGCGAAAGCCUGACCCAGCCACAUCGCAUGAGUGAAGAAGGCUGAUUGGUCGUAAAACUCUGACUUGAGGCAAGAUUAUGACAGAACCUUAAGAAAUAGUCCCGGCCAACUCUGUGCCAGCAGCCGCGGUAAGACAGGGGGGGCAAGCGUUAUUCGGAAUGAUUUGGCGUAAAGGGCGCGUAGGCGGACAACUCCUCGGCGAUUCUCGGCGAUUCUCGGCGAUUCUCGGCGAUUCUCGGCUUUGCCGAGAAACACCGAGAAACACCGAGAAACGCUGAGAAACGCCGAGAAGCACCUCUCUACGAGUAGAGAAUACUUUUACUCGUAGAGAGAACACCUCCUUUAACAGUUAGCGAAAAAUUCCAAAGCCUAACUUUGGUGGAGCGCUGGAGAGUCUCUUUUUCGCAAAGAAAAGAACCUCAUUUUAAGGGUGGCGGUCUAGAGUAAGCUGGGGGAGAGCGCAAUUCCUGGAGGAGAGGUAAAAUUCUUAGAUAUCAGGAGGAGGGCCAAAGGCAAAGGCAGCUCUCUGAGGCUUUACUGACGCUGAGGUGCGAAAGCGUGGGGAGCGAAGGGGAUUAGAUA
rnacentral:rRNA from 1 species